rnacentral:rRNA from 1 species
AGAGUUUGAUCCUGGCUCAGGAUGAACGCUAGCUACAGGCUUAACACAUGCAAGUCGAGGGGAAACGACAUCGAAAGCUUGCUUUUGAUGGGCGUCGACCGGCGCACGGGUGAGUAACGCGUAUCCAACCUGCCCACCACUUGGGGAUAACCUUGCGAAAGUAAGACUAAUACCCAAUGACGUCUCUAGAAGACAUCUGAAAGAGAUUAAAGAUUUAUCGGUGAUGGAUGGGGAUGCGUCUGAUUAGCUUGUUGGCGGGGUAACGGCCACAAGGCGACGAUCAGUAGGGGUUCUGAGAGGAAGGUCCCCCANAUUGGAACUGAGACGACGGUACCAAACUCCGUACGGGAGGCA